rnacentral:rRNA from 1 species
CUACGGGUCGCACCAGUGGGGAAUAUUGCACAAUGGAGGAAACUCUGAUGCAGCAACGCCGCGUGGAGGAUGACACUCUUCGGAGCGUAAACUCCUUUUAUAUAGGAAGAAGAUGACGGUACUAUAUGAAUAAGCGCCGGCUAACUCCGUGCCAGCAGCCGCGGUAAUACGGAGGGCGCAAGCGUUACUCGGAAUCACUGGGCGUAAAGAGCGUGUAGGCGGAUUAAAAAGUCAGAAGUGAAAUCCUAUAGCUUAACUAUAGAACUGCUUCUGAAACUCUUAAUCUAGAAUAUGGGAGAGGUAGAUGGAAUUUCUGGUGUAGGGGUAAAAUCCGUAGAGAUCAGAAGGAAUACCGAUUGCGAAGGCGAUCUACUAGAACAUUAUUGACGCCGAGACGCGAAAGCGUGGGGAGCAAACAGGAUUAGAUACCCUCGUAGUC